rnacentral:rRNA from 1 species
UAUUAUAUUAAAACUAAAAGGAAGAAAAUACUUUAAUAUUAUUAGAUAUAUUUCUUUAAAUUGAAAAAUUUGGCGGUAAUUUAGUCUUAUUAGGGGAACCUGUUUUUGUAUCGAUACACCACGUUAUAUUUUACUUUUAAAAUGAGUUUGUAUACCAUCAUUUAAGAUGAAUUUGAUAAAAUUUAUUAAAAUUUAAGAUAAUAAAAUAAGUUAGAUCAAGGUGCAGCAAUAUAAAAGUUUAAAUGGGUUACAAUAAUUUUUAAUUAUAUGGAUAAUUUAUUGAAAAUAGAUUUGAAGGUGGACUUAAUUGUAAUUUAAUUUUAAUAAGAUAAAAAGAAAUAAGCUCUAAAUUAU